GAUCCCUGGCUCAGGACGAACGCUGGCGGCGUGCCUAAUACAUGCAAGUCGAGCGGAAUGAUGAAGAAGCUUGCUUCUUCUGAUUUUAGCGGCGGACGGGUGAGUAACACGUGGGCAACCUACCUUGUAGAUUGGGAUAACUCCGGGAAACCGGGGCUAAUACCGAAUAAUCCAUUUUGCUUCAUGGCAAGAUGUUGAAAGGCGGCUUCGGCUGUCACUACGAGAUGGGCCCGCGGCGUAUUAGCUAGUUGGUAGGGUAAUGGCCUACCAAGGCGACGAUACGUAGCCGACCUGAGAGGGUGAUCGGCCACACUGGGACUGAGACACGGCCCAGACUCCUACGGGAGGCAGCAGUAGGGAAUCUUCCACAAUGGACGAAAGUCUGAUGGAGCAACGCCGCGUGAGUGAAGAAGGUUUUCGGAUCGUAAAACUCUGUUGUAAGGGAAGAACACGUACGAGAGUAACUGCUCGUACCUUGACGGUACCUUAUUAGAAAGCCACGGCUAA
rnacentral:rRNA from 1 species